CGACGAGUUUGAUCAUGGCUCAGGAUGAACGCUAGCGGCAGGCUUAACACAUGCAAGUCGAGGGGCAGCGCGAUGUAGCAAUACAUUGGCGGCGACCGGCGCACGGGUGCGUAACACGUAUGGAACUUACCCUUUACUGGGAGAUAGCCCGGAGAAAUCCGGAUUAAUAUCCCAUAAUAAACGAAGUGGCAUCACUUUGUUUUGAAAGCUCCGGCGGUAAAGGAUGGCCAUGCGCACGAUUAGCUAGUAGGUGAGGUAACGGCUCACCUAGGCUACGAUCGUUAGGGGGCCUGAGAGGGUUAUCCCCCACACUGGUACUGAGACACGGACCAGACUCCUACGGGAGGCAGCAGUGAGGAAUAUUGCGCAAUGGAGGCAACUCUGACGCAGCCAUGCCGCGUGCAGGAAGAAGGCGCUACGCGUUGUAAACUGCUUUUAACCGGGAAGAAACCCUCCGACGUGUCGGAGGUUGACGGUACCGGAGGAAUAAGCACCGGCUAACUUCGUG
rnacentral:rRNA from 1 species